rnacentral:rRNA from 1 species
AGGGUUUGAUCCUGGCUCAGAGUGAACGCUGGCGGCGUGCUUAACACAUGCAAGUCGAACGGAACUUUAUCGGGGGUAACCCUGGUAAAGUUUAGUGGCAGACGGGUGAGUAACACGUGGGAAACCUACCCUUAAGAGGGGGAUAACCCCGGGAAACCGGAGCUAAUACCCCAUAAGACCACAAGAGGACAUCCUCUAGCGGUCAAAGGCUAACAAGCGCUUUUGGAGGGUCCCGCGGUAUAUCAGCUUGUUGGUGAGGUAAUGGCUCACCAAGGCUAUGACGUAUAUCCGGCCUUAAAGGGUGAUCGGACACAAUGGAACUGAGACACGGUCCAUACUCCUACGGGAGGCAGCAGUGGGGAAUUUUGGACAAUGGGCGAAAGCCUGAUCCAGCAACGCCGCGUGGAGGAUGAAGGUUUUCGGAUUGUAAACUCCUUUUAGAGGGAACGAACAAAAUGACGGUACUCUCAGAAAAAGCAACGGCUAACUACGUGCCAGCAGCCGCGGUAAUACGUAGGUUGCAAGCGUUACUCGGAAUUACUAGGCGUAAAGCGUGUGUAGGCGGUCAAGUUAGUCUGUUGUGAAAUCUUCCGGCUCAACCGGAAGCGGCCAACAGAUACUGCUUGACUUGAGUGUGGGAGGGGAUGACGGAAUUCCUGGUGUAGCGGUGAAAUGCGUAGAUAUCAGGAGGAACACCGAUGGCGAAAGCGGUCAUCUGGCCCAAUACUGACGCUGAGAUACGAAAGCUAGGGGAGCAAACAGGAUUAGAUACCCUGGUAGUCCUAGCUGUAAACGAUGUUCACUAGAUGUGGGAGGUAUCGACCCCUUCCGCGUCGACGCUAACGCAUUGAGUGAACCGCCUGGGGAGUACGGCCGCAGGGCUGAAACUCAAAGGAAUUGACGGGGGCCCGCACAAGCGGUGGAGUAUGUGGUUUAAUUCGACACAACGCGAAGAACCUUACCUGGGCUUGAAGUGUAGGUUGUAAAGAUCUGAAAGGUGAAUGACCCGCAAGGGAGCCUAUAGAGGUGCUGCAUGGCUGUCGUCAGCUCGUGUCGUGAGAUGUUGGGUUAAGUCCCGCAACGAGCGCAACCCUCGUCCUAUGUUGCCAGUAGCAAUACUGGGUCUCUUAGGAUACUGCCGGUGACAAACCGGAGGAAGGUGGGGAUGACGUCAAGUCAGCAUGGCCCUUAUGUCCAGGGCUACACACGUACUACAAUGGCCGGUAUAGAGGGCUGCCAACCAGUAAUGGGGAGCAAAUCCCAAAAAAGCCGGCCCCAGUUCAGAUUGUGGGCUGAAAUUCGCCCACAUGAAGGAGGAAUCGCUAGUAAUCGCAGAUCAGCAGGCUGCGGUGAAUACGUUCCCGGGCCUUGUACACACCGCCCGUCACACCACGAAAGUUAGUUGUAACAGAAGUCGCUGUGCCAACCCGCAAG